rnacentral:tRNA from 1 species
UGUUAUGUGGCUUAGAUGCCUAAAGCGCUGGUCAAGUGAAUACGUGGGUUCGAAUCCCAUCAGAACGC